CCUCGGCAGCGCCGGGGCCGCCGCGGCGGGGGCUGCGCGAGGCGUUCGGGCCGGUUGUGCCACAAAAUGGCACCUGCCGGUGGUGCCCGCGGUUCGGUUCUCGGCGCGAAGCGCGGUCGCGUACCGGAGGGCGGAGGGCGGGUGAGCUACCGUGCGACAGUGAUGGCAGCUGAGCAGUGACACGGCAACAGGCAUCUGAUACAGUCAUGUAGAUCCGAGAAUGUUUUCUCUGACCCGGGAGCCUAGGUGUGCUCCUGUGAUGAUGUUUCCACGUGUGGGAAAAGCCCCGGGACACUCCGUUACAGGCCAUAUUACAACCUGACCUGCUUCUCCAUGUUGCCAGGGCUGGUAUCUUUUUCCACAUCUGUGAUGUUUUAAGGCUUAAAUCGUGCACAGUUCCUGGCUUGCUUGCACUCCCCACAGCCUUUCCUUUGGUGGUGACAUGCUUUCCUCAACUCUUGCCAUCAGAAACAGAUCACAGACAGUCCCUGCUCCUUUAGGAGAAGCCUAUCUACUUCCAUUGAAACAGUCUGGCAAUCCUUAGUUAACCCAUAUUUACUACAUGUUGUAAUUCUGGCAGUCUACCAAGCAUCGCCUCUUUGACAUUUGGCUGCAUCUCAUACGCACCUUUUUAAGGACAGAUUCUCAGCUCUUCUCACCACUCCCUUUUUGGGCAUUGCUACCUUCAGCACUCCCCAAAUAAGCCUUUCCUACUCAGCAAGCUGACCACUGUUCUAUUGUUUCCCCCCCUUGCUUUCCUCUUCAACUUCUUUUAUGUCACCCCUGCAAAUCUUAAAAAUUAACCCUUUACUUGUCGGUCCCAUUGCUACUUAUCUAUGUCUCAGUCAUUCCCAAUUACCCUCAGAAAUCUAAGGGAAGACUCCACAGAGGAGGUUGCCCAGACACUUGAAUAUCAGUACAACGAAAUGUGUAGGAGGUUAUGAAAGGCGGGUGGCCAACCAGUUCCCAAUGCAGCAAAGCCAGAGAAGCUUUUAAGAAUCAGGGAUACAGGAAGGGAGAAUGCAUUUUUAAUGACCUGUGGGAUCUGCUUCUUUCUUCAUUCCUUCUGUUAGGUCUGGAAGACAGGAACAGGAGGAACUCUGAUGUACACACCUGCUGCCUCCUCAGAGGAGCCUCUUUGAGGAAGGAAAACAACAGUUGUCAAAGAUGAGAGAAUAAAGCACAUAGGAAAGUGCUUUGCCAGCCUGACUUACAUGGGUCAGGACUGCAGCAUAGGAGAGUCUUCUGCUGCAUGAGCCUGAAUAGGAGCUAGCAACAUUUUACUGGCACUAGUACUCUCUGACUUCUUUUCCUUGGAACUGGGAAGGUUCUGGCCUGAACAAUGCCAACCACUAAGUUACCCACUGUAACUUACUAAAAGGUUGCUGUAAAGUGCAGAGCUCCUCUCACAAGAAAUUAUGGGAGUGCCCUGGCCACAGACAGAAUUCUUUCACGCUCUUACAAAUAACGGCUGACUUAUGUAUUCUUCCUAUAUCUUGGUGAACAUUCAAAUAUUUAGGUCUGUCUCCACAAUUUGCUAAUGUUUGUUGUCCACCUUUUCAUCAGUUGUGUUUCUGUUGCAUCUCACUUCCAUAUGACUGUUUCUGCAUGUAAUGAAACAUGAAAUUUGGGUAGGAGGGAAAGUGCUCAAGAACAAUUCACCCAGUAGCUUGCUUGCUUUGUUUUUUUGUGGGUUGGUUUUUUUUUUUUUUGUGGGUUUUUUUUAGAGAAGCAGACCUGUGUUUCAUCUGCCACAUAUUUAUCCUACCAUCACAGUGUUCAGAAGUGAUAGGAAAGGGAAACAACCAGAUUUUAUUUCAGUUCCAGUUGCUGGUGACUGUCUCUCAACACCUUGUAGAACUGGAGAUGAAUACACCUGGCAGAACUGGAGAUGAAUGGAAAACAGCGGAGAUGAGCAGGCUCACAAGUAAAAUACAAACUGGGGCUCACCAAGGGCAGAAGUCAGAAGGCCACCUUAAAUUUGAAACAAUGUAUUUGUUGCAUCAUACAGGAUAAGAUAACUUUGUUUCAGCAGUAGAUGGAUUUAUUUACCUCACAUAUGUCAAUGUAGUUUAGCAAUAAAAGGUACCCAAUCAUCUUGUACAGAUA